rnacentral:rRNA from 1 species
CGUGUAGGCUGCUCGGAAAGUCGGAUGUGAAAGCCCUGGGCUCAACCUAGGAAGUGCAUUCGAAACUUCCGAGCUGGAGUGCUGGAGAGGAAGGCGGAAUUCUCGGUGUAGAGGUGAAAUUCGUAGAUAUCGAGAGGAACACCGGUGGCGAAGGCGGCCUUCUGGACAGCCACUGACGCUGAGACGCGAAAGCGUGGGGAGCAAACA